rnacentral:lncRNA from 1 species
CUCCUCCCUAUCCGUCUGGAAAAGUGGGAACUCCUUGACAUUUUGGUGGAAAGCAGGGGCAGAGACUGUAACAAGAAAGCCUUCAUUCUAGAAAGCAAACCUAGGGAACUCUUUUGGAAGAAGGAGGGGUAUUCCUUCACUCACUGAGUCAGCGGAUGGUCUGGAAACAAGAUGCUGAACAAGCCUGGAGGAGGAGGCAGCCUGACUCCUGUCUGCAGGCAGGAAAGGCUCCUCCCAGCUGAACCGCGGAGCCAGAAAUGGAGGAAGUCACGGCGACAAUAAGAGCAAAACGAUCCAGACAAAAUGUGUUACUAUUGCUGACCACUGAUGACACUUACACUGUCAACAACCCUACAGCAGGUCCCUGGCCAUACUCCAGCAACGUGGCAGCUCAGUUACUGCUCCCAAAAUGCCUCUGCAGCUGUCAACUCACCCCAAGGAUCUUUAUUUAUGGAACCAGGGUGCCUUCUUCAAGAAACAGAAAUGACGCUGUGUGCUGGCUGGGAAAGUUGCCUCCGGCUUCUUCUACCUUCAAGUCAGAGCCAACGGCACCUGGAGCAGGUAGAGCGAGCCAGCCAGUGAGCCUGGUGGUCAGAGCUACACUGACUUCUCCCGCAGUCUCCACAUGGCUGAGACCACAGCCCGGCUCCAGAGGUCAGCCACACAGGUCAGACUCUCCUGACUGGCUGUAUUUGGAUGAUGGAUGUGUUUUUAUGGCAUAAAAAACCAGUUGGCAUUUUCUCCUUCUGUAAACCAGAGCUGCUUCUAGAGAGGCUAGGAGGGAUAGGGGGAGAACACAUUCACAUUACCAGGGGGAGACCUCAGAACACAAUGACCAUGACCACAGAAGCUGCCAGACAUUAAAAUCUCAGUUUUGUCCUUCAGGAGGGGAUGCCCAGCUUCCAAGCCCCUGGUCUAUCUUUGGGGAAUUGUCUACUGUUGUAAGCUGAAGUGUACCCCCUGCCCACAAAAUUCAUAUGUCGAAGUCCUAACCCUCAGGACCUCAGAAUGGUAGGGUUCUCGGCUUAUCAAUUAGGGAAUACCAGAAAUGUCUGUCCAAGCAAUAUGGUUUGUGCUGACACCUGCUUUCCUCUUGCAUGUCUGGAAUUUUGGUAACACUAGGCAGAGGGUACCUAUGUAACUGACCCCUAAUAAAACCCCAGACUCCUGGGCUCA